GUUCUGGGCCCCUCACUACAAGAAAGACAUUGAGCUGCUGGAGCAGGUCCAGAGAAGGGCAACAAAACCGGCAAAGGGUCUGGAGCGCAAGUCUUAUGAGGGAGUUGGGCUUAUUCAGUCUGGAGAAGAGA